rnacentral:antisense_RNA from 1 species
CUUGACCGAGCCCAGUCGCAGCGGCCGGUCCUCCGGCCGGUUCUGCCCGUACGUGGCGAUCAGCGCCUGCGCCUC